AAUGAAUGAUGACAAAAUGUUUCGGUCCCAAAUGACAUAAUGAUUAUACCGUUACAUUUCUGACAUU
ensembl:snoRNA SNORD73 Small nucleolar RNA SNORD73